CUCUCCCUUCCCCCUCCCCUGAAACUAAAAGGAAUGUUCAAAGCCUGUUUUUCUGUGACCAGCAGACCUUAUCUAUGCUCCCAAUUCCAAUUCCUUGUAAACACAGUUUGUACAAUCCUGAGAGAUCCUGUCUCCUUUGCCAUGCCGCUGCAAGGUCAUAAAGUAGAUAAAACUUAAGUUGCAAUUCCGGUUUUCCUCAAGAUCUGAGACAUGUUAAUUGUCUUUGUUUCUCGCUCUGGUAACAUCUUCCCGCUGCACAUAUUUCCCGCCUUAAAGAGUUUAAAAGGUGAUCAAAAAAUCUAACACUGGCCACCCGCUCGGGACACCUUCCACGCUGUGGAAGCUUUGUACUGUCAUUCUGCUCAGUAAAGCCUACAGCCUUUUUUCUCUCGGUCGGGUCCACGUCUCUCUCUCUUGCCGCGGGCUGCCGCCACCCCAACCCUUUGGCGUGGCUAAGGCAACAACCUUUGGUGUUACCCUGGUUUGCAAAGAGGAAUGCCCUCUCCAAACAUGCCUAUCGAAUAAGGUCCUGUUCAUGAUGCAAAUCUCUAUGUGAUCUUCCUCCGGAAUUCUUGAGCCCAUUCCUGGAACUGUGUGAUAACUUGCCCAGAAAAUCUUCUUGUGGAAUCUGUCUUUACAUGGAAAAGACUUGGCAAUAUUUGUACAGCAACUGGAAGAAAGGUCUUUGCUGAGAUAUACAAAGAGGCAGAAUGUGUGUGGAUCACCGAUUAGACAAGGCGAAUAGGAGCAGAAUAGAAGAGGAAUGGAAUAGAACUCAAGAUGAUAAAACAUACUGUGUCCAGAAUUUAUUCCUUCCAGUGGGCUGUUGGUCUCACUGACUUUAAGAAUGAAGCUGCGGACCCUCGU
rnacentral:lncRNA from 1 species